rnacentral:lncRNA from 13 species
CGACCUAUAAGGAGAGGCAAUCCCAGCGUGGAUCAGGUGAGUCACCCCAGGAGGCCGAGGAAUGGGGAGGCAAAGAAAUAAAAAAAAGCCAUCGGCGAAUUAAAUGAACGGGCAGAGCUGUGGGACAGGGAGGGGCUUCUUCCCCAGGUGGGGUGCGCAGAGAGGGUAUAAAAGUGCUCCUGUCCCGGAAAGCCUCAUUCCCUCUCAUUCCUUCCUCGUCUCUUCCCUGCACGAGCAGCUCAGGUCAGCCAGCACAGGACCAUGUGCUCCCGCCAGGAGAAGGACCAGUGCCACCGGCAGCAGCGCCAGAGCAGCGGCGGCUGUCACAGCUCCGGGGG